rnacentral:rRNA from 1 species
CAACUUUCAGCAACGGAUCUCUUGGCUCUCGCAUCGAUGAAGAACGCAGCGAAAUGC